UUGUCUUGCUACAUGCUGAACCUGCAGUCGAACGAUGGUAGCCCAGCUUGCUGGGCGGAUUAGUGGCGAACGGGUGAGUAACACGUGAGUAACCUGCCCUUGACUUCGGGAUAACUCCGGGAAACCGGGGCUAAUACCGGAUAUGAGCCGCCUUCGCAUGGGGGUGGUUGGAAAGUUUUUCGGUCAGGGAUGGGCUCGCGGCCUAUCAGCUUGUUGGUGGGGUGAUGGCCUACCAAGGCGACGACGGGUAGCCGGCCUGAGAGGGCGACCGGCCACACUGGGACUGAGACACGGCCCAGACUCCUACGGGAGGCAGCAGUGGGGAAUAUUGCACAAUGGGCGAAAGCCUGAUGCAGCGACGCCGCGUGAGGGAUGAAGGCCUUCGGGUUGUAAACCUCUUUCAGCAGGGAAGAAGCGCAAGUGACGGUACCUGCAGAAGAAGCGCCGGCUAACUACGUGCCAGCAGCCGCGGUAAUACGUAGGGCGCAAGCGUUGUCCGGAAUUAUUGGGCGUAAAGAGCUCGUAGGCGGUUUGUCGCGUCUGGUGUGAAAACUCGAGGCUCAACCUCGAGCUUGCAUCGGGUACGGGCAGACUAGAGUGCGGUAGGGGAGACUGGAAUUCCUGGUGUAGCGGUGGAAUGCGCAGAUAUCAGGAGGAACACCGAUGGCGAAGGCAGGUCUCUGGGCCGCAACUGACGCUGAGGAGCGAAAGCAUGGGGAGCGAACAGGAUUAGAUACCCUGGUAGUCCAUGCCGUAAACGUUGGGCACUAGGUGUGGGGCUCAUUCCACGAGUUCCGUGCCGCAGCAAACGCAUUAAGUGCCCCGCCUGGGGAGUACGGCCGCAAGGCUAAAACUCAAAGGAAUUGACGGGGGCCCGCACAAGCGGCGGAGCAUGCGGAUUAAUUCGAUGCAACGCGAAGAACCUUACCAAGGCUUGACAUGCACGAGAAGCCACCAGAGAUGGUGGUCUCUUUGGACACUCGUGCACAGGUGGUGCAUGGUUGUCGUCAGCUCGUGUCGUGAGAUGUUGGGUUAAGUCCCGCACGAGCGCACCCUCGUCCCAUGUUGCCAGCGGUUAUGCGGGACUCAUGGGAGACUGCCGGGUCACUCGAGAGUGGGAUGACGUCAAAUCAUCAUGCCCUAUUGUUCUUGGCUCACGCAUGCUUACAUGGCGGUUACAAGCUGCAAUCGUAGUGACGAUUCCAAAAGCCGGAUCUUCAGUUCCGGAAUUG
rnacentral:rRNA from 1 species